GGCACCCAGAGCGGGACGACGCCGGAGACCGGCACAGGUGAGCCCGCGAUGUGCAACCAGUGCAAGUGCUUCUGCCUCCUCGUGCAAUGGAUGUGGCACGUCAUCAAGCGGCUGUGCAGGAGGAAGAAAGAAUCUCGCAGGAGUGCCGACGAGACGACAUCCUUAUUGGGCGACAGGCGUAACGCGGGGUCCUGAGGGGAGCCCGUCCCGGAGCUCUGCCGUCUGCCGGAGCCCCCCGUCCCCUCCCGUGAAGCCAGCUUUGGCCUGGCCGCGCCCGCUUGAGGGCGGGCUCGGAUUCAUGGUCAGACCCGCCCGUGGAAGGAAAGAAUGAGCCUGUGGGGGCCUGCGCUCUCUUGUGACCCCUUCUUUGCUACCCACAUGCGUUUUUCUCUUGCUUUUAAUUAUUAACAAAUCGUAGGGGGCUGGGUGGUAGUUUUAGGCUAGAAAUCAGGUCUGGCUGGCUGGCCCUCUGGACAGUGGGGGCUCACGGACGAAGAGACCACCCCAGCCUGCCAAGGAUCCAGAGGCGUUAGUUUAUUCAUUACUGGCAUUUCAACUCAAAUGUUUGGAUACCAGUUGGGAGAAAUCCAGUCUGGG